UCCCCGAUAGCUCAACGGUAGAGCAUUCGGCUGUUAACCGAAGGGUUCCUGGUUCGAAUCCAGGUCGGGGAGCCA
rnacentral:tRNA from 1 species